GAAAAGGAAAGCAAUUGCUUUUGAUAAAAAAAAAAUUAGCUCCUUGACUAAGUUAUGAAGCAUCCCACUGAUAUACAGUAUUAUGGCUAAAAAAUCUCACGCAACACCCUGUGAUUAUUUGUAAACACAUAGCAGACAUUCAGUAUUAUUGCUGAUAUCCGCUUAUGUCUGGUCCAAAGGAGAAAAAAAAACACGUCACAUGCGUCAACUGAGCUGAACGCAUCAUCACACACGAGUGUUAUACCUGAUUAAUAUUCUAAAACAUUCACACGACUGUUUUCUUUCCCAAACGUAGCCUGUGUGAUCACCUGAGCAUGAUGCGAUUCUCUCUGAAGAUCGUCGUUCAGAUGUAUGCGAUCUGCGUGCUGUUCAAACUCCUCGGUUACGCUGAUGAUGCCAUGACUGUGAUGAGAUAAACUGUGGAUGUGAUGCUCGGAGAUGAAGUCAGGUUUGGAGAGGAGCUCUCUUCAAACUGAAUGUCUGUCCUGAUGUGCUCGAAUCACACGGCUGCUGGACUGAAUUCCACCUGCAUGACAGCGAGCGAAGCGCAGAAGUUCACUGCCGUAAACAACGGAGUAAACGCGACCGUAGAAAUGAACAAUUCACUCCCACGUCAACCUGGGCCAAGACUAUGUCAAGAUGACAUCAUUAAACAUCUGCUAGCUGCACAAUGAGGAUCCCCCUCUGUUAUAGUCAUCAGAGACAAAAACAGAACAGGAGUGUGAGGAGAACAACCUCACACAACAGAGCCAUAUUUCCAGUCUGAGGUAAAAGUGUCACUGUUCGUUCAUCUAAUUUAAAAUGGGAGCUUAAUACUGGGCCUACCACUGAAAAUUCUCUAUAAUUUGAAAAAAUUAAAACUAUAUAUAUAUAUAAAUAAUAUCUUUAAUAUAUAUAUAAAGCUCAGGUUAUUGUACAAGUCAUUUCAACUUGAAUUACUUUAAACCAGCUUUAAAAAUCUAGAUGAAUUUCAACUUUUUAAACAAACAAAUAAAACAUCCUCAACUUAUUCUGAGUUAGAGUAA
ensembl:lncRNA